UAUAUAUUGUUUUAACUAAUUCGUGUUGGUAUGAUGAUAAUAUUAUUAUAUUAGUUAUAUUGUUCCUAAUAUUUUUUUUUUUUUUUAUUCAACAUUGUAAUAAUAUUUAUAUAAAAUAGUAUACUAUAAUGUUGUUGCUUCAACAAGGUGUAUUAUUUUAAUGUAGAUGGGAUGAGCUAGAUUGUACAAUGGUACGUCGUGCCCUGGAUAUCGCUGAGUAUAAAAUUAAUUCACUUAUUGAAGUAUACGUAUUAUGUAGAGUGUCCCAUCACGGAAAUCGGACGAAUUCAAUAACUUUUGCUGUGUAUCAACAUUUUCAAGUAUUUCUUUUUUUCUUGUAAUGAUAAUUACUAAAGCCUCAUGCUAUGAUGCCUCUAUUUUUUAUAAUUUUUUUUUACAAAAUCAAUUUUGUAGUAGCAAUAGAAACUAUAAAUUUAAACUGAACACUUGGAAAACUUCGACAAAUAAUAUUAACCGAUUCAUCCUAUAAAAAUUGCCUUAAUGAU